GACGAACGCUGGCGGCGUGCCUAAUACAUGCAAGUAGAACGCUGAAGAGAGGAGCUUACUCUUCUUGGAUGAGUUGCGAACGGGUGAGUAACGCGUAGGUAACCUGCCUUGUAGCGGGGGAUAACUAUUGGAAACGAUAGCUAAUACCGCAUAACAAUGGAUGACAAAUGUCAUUUAUUUGAAAGGGGCAAUUGCUCCACUACAAGAUGGACCUGCGUUGUAUUAGCUAGUAGGUGAGGUAAUGGCUCACCUAGGCGACGAUACAUAGCCGACCUGAGAGGGUGAUCGGCCACACUGGGACUGAGACACGGCCCAGACUCCUACGGGAGGCAGCAGUAGGGAAUCUUCGGCAAUGGGGGCAACCCUGACCGAGCAACGCCGCGUGAGUGAAGAAGGGUGUCGGAUCGUAAAGCUCUGUUGUAAGUCAAGAACGGGUGUGAGAGUGGAAAGUUCACACUGUGACGGUAGCUUACCAGAAAGGGACGGCUAACUACGUG
rnacentral:rRNA from 1 species